UGGGGAAUUGUUCGCAAUGGGCGCAAGCCUGACGACGCAACGCCGCGUGGAGGAUGAAGGUCUUCGGAUCGUAAACUCCUGUUGCCCGGGACGAAUAGCUUCGACCUAACACGUCGGAGUAUGACGGUACCGGGUGAGGAAGCCCCGGCUAACUCUGUGCCAGCAGCCGCGGUAAUACAGAGGGGGCAAGCGUUGUUCGGAAUUACUGGGCGUAAAGGGCGCGUAGGCGGCCUGUUAAGUCGAACGUGAAAUCCCUCGGCUCAACCGGGGAAUUGCGUCUGAGACUGGCGAGCUUGAGUGCAGGAGAGGAACGCGGAAUUCCAGGUGUAGCGGUGAAAUGCGUAGAUAUCUGGAGGAACACCGGUGGCGAAGGCGGCGUUCUGGACUGCAACUGACACUGAAGAACGAAAGCCAGGGUAGCAAACGGGAUUAGAUACCCCCGUAGUCCCUGAGCGGGCUGGCAAGGCGCAU
rnacentral:rRNA from 1 species